rnacentral:lncRNA from 1 species
CAUCCUUCCCCCAUUUCAGCUCCAUACUCACACCCUUAUUCUCUUUCCCCUUUUUACUAAACCCCUUCUUAGGUGAACACCAAAAACACCCAGUUUUCGCUGGUGGAGACGAACAAUCCGAUAUUGGCCCAGGGAACUCCGAGGAACCGAAACUCCUGGAAUUUCUUGCGACAGCGGAGGGUUUGGAAGUUGCCGGAGCAGCAGGAAGGGAUUUGAGUUUUCGAAAACGAGUUUCGAGCUGAGUGGGGAGUACAGAGUCAGUAAAACCAGAGCAAUUAAUG